AUACUUACCUGGCAGGGGCAAUACUAUGAUCAAGAAGGUGGUUUGCCCAAAAUGGGGCCCAGCCAUUGCACUCAGGCUGUGCUGACCUUUGCAAAGCCCUCAAAUGCAGGAAUCUCGACUGCAUAGUGUCUGAUAGUGGGGGACUACGUUCGCACUCUCCCUUU